AUCCAGCCGACGAGUCCCCAAAUCGGACGAAACACACGUCCUAGAU
rnacentral:hammerhead_ribozyme from 1 species